rnacentral:lncRNA from 10 species
CAUAAUAUUGAUUUGAAAAAGGAGACCUGAGCACAUAAGUGAUCAAAAACAUAUGAGAUGAAUGAGUAAAUGAACGGAGCUUGCAUUUGAGAGGCUGAACACAUUGGCAGUGACAUGAAGCACAUGAGAAUGACAGCACUAAACGCAGCGCGCAACCUGGGAAAGAGGCUGAAAAAAUACCUACUCAGCCACGACACUCCCUGUAGGGCAAGCUUAUCUGUGUGCUUACUUGGAAGCUCUUGCUUACUUAGAAGC